AUGCACAGGUGGAUGUGAAGUGGAUAAAUGAAUUUAUACACGAUUUUGGUGAAUUUCAGGUCUUAGGUUUGGACCACAUAGCACCACUAGAAUUCUAACCUACGCUAGACACUCAGAAGUAGUUUAUAGUCAAAUUACCGUGUUCAAUUCAAGAACCGGUGAAACCCAGUUAAAAGCAAAGCUAUUGUUGGGAAUAUUCGUUAAAUUCGAUAAAUACACUGAAAUUCUUGUAGCUGCUGCUAACGAGAAUCAGCGUUUU